UACGUAGAGGGCAAGCGUUGUUCGGAAUUACUAAGCGUAAAAAACGCGUAAACGGCACAGCAAGUCGAGAGUGAAAGCCCCGGAACUCAACCCCGGAAUGACUUUCGAAACUGCUGAGCUAGAGUACAGAAAGGGCAACCGGAAUUCCCAGUGUAGCGGUGAAAUGCGUAGAUAUUGGGAAGAACACCUGAGGCGAAGGCGGGUUGCUGGGCUGAUACUGACGCUGAGGCGCGAAAGCCAGGGGAGCAAACGGG
rnacentral:rRNA from 1 species